UAGUCGGGACCUAAGCCGAGGCCGAAAGGCGUAGGCGAUGGAUAACAGGUUGAGAUUCCUGUACUAGUUGAUUAUGUUUGAGCGAUGGAGGGACGCAGGAGGCUAAGUUGUGCAUCCAGCUGGAAACGGAUGUUUAAGCCACAAGUCAGUCAAAGAGUUAAAUGCUUUUUGGCGGGUUGACAAGUGGUGAUGAGGACCGAAAUUUAAGUAGGGAAGCAACCAACGUCACACUGCCGAGAAAAGCUUCUAGUGAGUAAUCAACUACCCGUACCGCAAACCGACACAGGUAGUCGAGGAGAGAAUCCUCAGGUGAGCGAGUGAACUCUUGUUAAGGAACUCGGCAAAAUGACCCCGUAACUUCGGGAGAAGGGGUGCUGUGCGCAAGCACAGCCGCAGUGAAAAGGCCCAGGCGACUGUUUAUCAAAAACACAGGUUUCUGCAAAAUCGUAAGAUGACGUAUAGGGGCUGACGCCUGCCCGGUGCUGG
rnacentral:rRNA from 1 species